rnacentral:rRNA from 1 species
ACGGAGGGUGCAAGCGUUGUUCGGAAUCACUGGGCGUAAAGCGCGUGUAGGUGGUCUUUUAAGUCUGGUGUGAAAGCCCGGGGCUUACCCCCGGAAGGGCACUGGAUACUGGAAGACUAGAGUACCGGAGAGGAAGGUGGAAUUCCUGGUGUAGCGGUGAAAUGCGUAGAUAUCAGGAGGAACACCGGUGGCGAAGGCGGCCUUCUGGACGGCUACUGACACUGAGACGCGAAAGCGUGGGGAGCAAACAGGA